UAACCACAGACUAACCCUGCUGACACUCUCAUCUUGGGCCAGAAUUAGAAGAAAAUAAUUUUCCGUUAUUUAAGCUACCCAGUCUAUGAUAUUCUACUGUGGCAGCCCUAGCAGAUGAAUACAGAGGCCAAGUAAGCAAAUUUGGUCUCUGUAUCACCAUUUAAACUGGAUUUACUAUACUCCUACUUUUUACAUAUUAGAAUUUUAUGUAAGAAUUCUUUCUUUUUAAAAAUAAAUGUCUUACUGUUAAAAAUUUAGUCAGGUAAAUAUAUUAUGUACCAAUUUAUUCAUGUAUUUAUAAUGGAAGCAUUUCUUCCUACUGGUCCCAUAUUGUGUCUCUAAUCAGAAUGCUUCCAUUGGGCUCCUUUUCUUGUCUUUCUGGACACACAGAUGGCCACACCAUUGAAACAUAAGUUACUCUGAUGACAGAAAGAAGAUACCACUCAUCUUUAUGAUUUCAUCUUGCCUAUGCUAUGGACUGAAUGGUUCAUUUGAUAAUAAGAUGAAGAAUAGAGCUUUGUCAACUAUAAAGCACCAUGAAAAAUUGAGAAUUAAUAUUUCUACCUUAUGCAUAUAUUCAAGAUGAUCCCUUACUUGGAGAUAAUGGCUCAGAGAGAUUAUUUAAAGAGAAAACCGGAAAUAUUUUGACAUUUUUUAUGUGUUGGGGAUGACAGGAAGCCAAAGAUGUUACAUUUUCAAGGUUAGUGAAUGUGAUUGUGAUGUAGUGAUGGUGUCAUACAUUGAAAAAAGGAUCAUAGGAAAAGAUGUUUUAUUUUGAAAUUGAGAUACAAUUCAUGUAACAAAAUUCAUCCUUUUAAACUACAAAAUUCAGUGGUUUUUGAUAUAUUCACAGAGUUGUGUAACCAUCACCCUAUCUACUUUAGAAUGUUUUCAUUACCCCAAAAGAAACUUCAUACCCAUUAGAGAUUAUUUCCCAUCUCCUUCUAUCCCAUUCCCUGGCAACCAUUAAUCUAUUUCUGUCUUGAUGGAUUUGAAUAUUCUGGAAAUUUCAUAUAAAUGGACCUUAUAAUUUCUGUCUGCUUCUUUCAUUUAGCAUCACCUUUUCAAAGUUCAUCUAUAUUAUACCAUGUGUCAGUAUUUCAUUCACUUUUAUGGCUGAGUAAUA
rnacentral:lncRNA from 1 species